GGGCGCUCUGAUCUGCCCGGGAUCCGCUCCCCAAGCACGGACUUAGCACGGAAGCCGCGGGGCUGUGUAGCCCCAGCCAAGGCCCGGCACUGCGCAGCCCGCCCGCCACCCGCCUGCUUGGCCGCCUCGCAAGCUGCUCGGACCCGCGGUCCCAAGCCCCGGGAGGUGGCAGCUGGCCCUACUGCCAGGGCACGUCGCAGUCUCCCGGCAGGGCUGGCGCGGGCUCAGGCCUACGGGCCGCCCCGGCGGGGCUCCCCAGCGGAAAGCCCCGGGCAUGUGCAUGGCAGGCGCACAAAGGCGCUGGAGGGAGGCGACGCUGCCAAGCGGUGCGAGCCGCUUGUGUGCCAGGGCGCGUGGCAGGGCGGUGGGAGCGGCGGGGCUGGCUGGAAGCGGUGCAGGAGGUGCAGGCGAGAACCCGGCGCACGCAGCAGCUGCGGUUUCUGCUGGGGAACCCCGGCGACCCCCGGCCCUGGCUGGACAGGAGCUUCCAGGACAAACAAGAGUGGCUCCCUGGGCUCUGCUGCUCCCCAGCAGGCCCUGGCCCGGGGUCACUCGGAGAUCGCGGGAUCGGGCCUCCCUCCGAGCCGAGAGAGGGAGAAGGCGCCGCAGGUUGAGGUCCUUUUAUGCUUCCAGCGAGGACCGGCCCCGUGGCGGGGGAGCGCAGAGCGGCGCCCGCGGCCCGCCGGCCUGGCUCGAACAAUAGCGGCGGGGCCGCGGGCGGGCGGCACAAAGAGCCGGGCCCAGCAGCGCGCCGCGCGGGUCGGCGCUGCCGGCACGGCCCCCGGGAGCCCGCAGCCCGCUCUCUGCAAGGCGCGGGAUCCGGGAGAGCCAGUUACCCGGCCCCAGCCACUUCUCAGGGACUACAUCGCAAGUUAAUCACUGAAGAGGCAAGAGCUCUCCAUUACCAAGCGAACGAUUGCAGCGGGAAGGCUGAGCGGUUCCUCCUACUCCAGCUCGAGUCCGGGCCAGCUGGGAUUCGACCAGAAACCACAGCCGGAGGAGACAGAAAGCAAAGCUCAGCCCUGCCAUCUAAUAUUCACGGGCUAGCGCUCGGCUCUCAGCUUCCAGCAGGGAGGCUGCAACUGAAUCCUUUAGUCACAAAGAGCGACAUGCAAAAAGGGAUCCCGUGGAGAACAACCUCAGCAGACUCAGUGCCCACACACACACACACACACACACACACACACCCCAGAGCACAGCCUACUAGUGAAGGCCUUUGCAAGACAAUGCACAACAGUACAGGCUGCCCCGGAUAACCAAGACAAGCUUCGCCCAUCUUAUUUCGCGUUAAACUUGAGGGGCUAUGUUGGGCUCGACCCCUAACAUAGCUCAGGGGUCUGAGCAUCAGCUGUGAAACGCAGAACAGGAGGUAGCCCAAGCUACUUAUGGAAAAGGUUUCCGUGAAGGAACAAAGCAGGGGGGAAAUCAAAAUCAAAAUAACCCCAAGCAGCAGAAAGCUGAGUUAGAAAGCUCCCCCUCACUCCCAACGUUAUCCAAUACCUGUCGGUUUGCGUGGCUUUGCACGCUCCCUUGCAAUUGCACUUGAAAACACAAUACAAAGACAUAGCACGGGGAGUGGUCUUGCUGGAAGGCUGAGUGCCCCAAGACGCGGGGGCUGCAUUUGGCUUUGAACAGCACCCGGCACUUGGCGGAGCUGCCAUUGAAAAGAAAAGGCAGAUGGGAGCAAUGCAAGGCGCUGUGUAGGGGAAAGAGGAGGAAGAAGGUGUGUGUGUUUGUCUUCACUGACAAAAUGUUGUCCACAGAAGGGCCCCCUGCAAUGCUCUCAAGUCUCAAGGCGCAUAGUCCCCGAAUUUCCUGGGCUCCUUUACCGAUGGUCAGAGGGUCCUGCAAGAGGGCCAAGGAAGCAGAGAUUCCCGACAGAGGGUAACGUUAGCCCGACAGCACUGGUGGGAAUCGCUGGGACUGUCCAUAUUCUUAGAGAAGGAGGUGGAAACUUUCUCUCCGCCUCUUCCAGGCACAGUGGAGGGGCUUAAUCAAUCUCCGUGCCUCAUCCAGGCCCCUCAGGCCUGCUGGAAAGGCCAGCCAAGAGAGCCGGGCUUAGAGUAGGGGACAGAGACUCCCCUUCCUCUAUCUGAAGCGGAGAGGACGACCCUACAAGUCUACACUACAGCCCCUUCGUGUUUGCCCUUGAGCUGAAUGUGGAUUUCUCUGGAGUGCCAACCAAACUAACGUUUCCCUAUGCGAGCUUUACGUAUUAUCCCAUACAGCAACCCCUAUCGACAGCCUUCUCAGUGAGGCACCUGCGAUUUUUUCUUGUACAGUAAGGCCAAAAUAAUUUAUGUAGAGGAUUUUGGCAAAUUCUCCUGAACACAGUCUUUGAAAACCUACAAAUCAUGAAAUGGACUUCAUCAUCUUGCCUGGCGACUCUUUAAAACAUGUUCCCAGAAGUGUUUUUUUUUUAAGAGGAGGGCCAUGGAAACACGGUAGAUCCAGGUUCAUAAUACUCAUCUCUCUACCAGACAGCAGAGUGGGAGCUCCAAACUCCCAUUCCUACCAGGGCUCUACUGGUCUAGGGGCCCUGAGGGGUGCCAGGGAUCUGCUGAAUUUACACUAGUGGUGGGCCUAUUCUUCAGGCUCAAGUCUCAUCCCAUUACUGCUGCUGGUGGUAACAGAGUUUGCAGAACAGGUCCAAACAAUCUUUCUGGGGGGAAAAUGGCAGAGAAUGAGCAAAGUGACAAUUCCUGCAGUAUUGACUUGGACUCUUCUCGGCAAGGCGCCCUUGCUCUCAAUAGAGGUGGAUCUGUCCCGCCAGCGCCUGCAUGCCCCCGAGUAUUUUUCGGAAUACUUAUCGCGUGUCAACAGGUACCUGACUCCAGCUGACUCUGGAGAAAACGCCUGUAGGCGCACUGCUGUUGCAAAAAGGAGAGGCGCUAUUUUUCAUGCCUUUGCCAAGUUGCUGUAAUAAUUGCCAAUUUGCAUGCUCCCAAGUUUCUUCCGACUCGUUCCAGGUCUCCAACAAGUCUGCAGCACUGCGCUCCCAGGCAGCCUCCCCCACCGCUGCUUACGGUGGCUUCCUUUUCCGCUUUUAAAAAUCUCCGGGUUUCUUUUCCCUACCCCUGAACAUUUUAGAAAUCUUCUCCAACCCCUUAUAGGAAAACCCACAGCUCCCUGAUGUGACGCGCACAUUUGAAAAUAGUGAGGUUAGACUAUGCUGAAAACUACACCUUUUUUUCAAAGAGAGACCUUCAGAAUGAGAAAAUCCGGAACGGCUCGUGUCUGUUGCUGGGGUCUUCACUCCUAUACAAGUAAACUGAUGUAGGCAGGUGAAUGGGUAGAAAUAAAUAGCAGUAGCAGAACAAACUUGUCCAGUUGAUGUGGAUGAAAUCCCCUAGUUCAAAGUGGUUUAAAACACAGCUUUUGCAAUAGGUAAAGCAAUGCAUUGUAUUUUGAGAAAGAAAUGAUCAACUAAAACUGUUACAGAAUUCUGCAAGAUCAGCCUUGACUGGUCUCAAGUACCUCUUACUGAAGGGGCAUCACUUGUUCACUUCAUUUUUUUAAAUGAGGUAUGAAUAAGAGUAAAAUUUCACUGUCUGAAGGGAUUUCAUUCGCUAAAGAAAAAAAGAAUAAUUCCUACGGAAAACGACUUUACAAAACUAAAGCGUUUGCAAAGCGAUUGCAAAACUAACUUAAACGGAGGUCCUGCUUGCUUUAAAGGGGGGAGUGGGAGUCAGAAAAAAACAACUAAAAUUUCUUAAUCAGAUAAUAGGUUUCUGCUUCCUUUGGUUAAAUGUGUCUCUCUAGGGAUCAUAACCAUUCAUAGUUAAAUCUCCUGCCAGUCUCUCUCUUUAUAUACAUAUACAUAUACAGAGAGAGAGAUCUAGACAUAUCUUUAUCUACAUAUAGAUCUCUACAUAUCUAUACGUAUUUAUUUACCAAUUAUGAAUUAUGACUGGUGAAUUAUACAUAUCAUAAUUGGUGAACACGGUAACAUUUCGGAAGUCUGUGUCAAGGUGCCGUUAGAGAACGCCUAAUCCAACGAUCUAGGUUAGCAGUAAUUUAGUAGCAAAAACCUUUCUGCAACCUCACAGCAAAAGCCUUGCUCCAUUCAUGAUGCUCCAUUGUCUUACAGUAUAUAUUUUACAAACUGUUGAGAAAUAGAAAACUAUGAUCUGAAACACA